rnacentral:rRNA from 1 species
GACGAACGCUGGCGGCGUGCCUAAUACAUGCAAGUCGAGCGAUGAUUAAAGAUAGCUUGCUAUUUUUAUGAAGAGCGGCGAACGGGUGAGUAACGCGUGGGAAAUCUGCCGAGUAGCGGGGGACAACGUUUGGAAACGAACGCUAAUACCGCAUAACAAUGAGAAUCGCAUGAUUCUUAUUUGAAAGAAGCAAUUGCUUCACUACUUGAUGAUCCCGCGUUGUAUUAGCUAGUUGGUGGUGUAAAGGACUACCAAGGCGAUGAUACAUAGCCGACCUGAGAGGGUGAUCGGCCACACUGGGACUGAGACACGGCCCAGACUCCUACGGGAGGCAGCAGUAGGGAAUCUUCGGCAAUGGGGGCAACCCUGACCGAGCAACGCCGCGUGAGUGAAGAAGGUUUUCGGAUCGUAAAACUCUGUUGUUAGAGAAGAACGUUAAGUAGAGUGGAAAAUUACUUAAGUGACGGUAUCUAACCAGAAAGGGACGGCUAACUACGUGCCAGCAGCCGCCGUAA